GCGCAGCAGUCGCGAAAACUUCACACUGUGCGAAAGCACGAUGAGGGAAUCCCAAGUGCUUGCACGUAAGUGUAAGCUGUUUCUCUGUCUAAAACGCAGAGAGAGUAAGGGCUGGGUAAGACGGGUGCCAGCCGCCGCGGUAAUACCCGCAGCUCAAGUGGUGACCGUUAUUAUUGGGCCUAAAACGUCCGUAGCCGGUUUAAUAAAUGCCUGGGUAAAUUGUGUAGCUUAACUAUACGAAUUCCGGGUAGACUGUUAAACUUGAGACCGGGAGAAGUUAGAGGUACUCCUGGGGUAGAGGUGAAAUUCUGUAAUCCUAGGGGGACCACCAGUGGCGAAGGCGUCUAACUAGAACGGGUCUGACGGUGAGGGACGAAGCCCUGGGGCGCAAACGGGAUUAGAUACCCGUGUAGU
rnacentral:rRNA from 1 species